rnacentral:lncRNA from 1 species
UGGUAUAACUUUAUCUUUCCCACCGAACUGAAGUAUCUGUGGGAAUUUGUGCUUCCAGUUUAUUUAAUCCUUGAGAAAAGACAAAACCAGUUGAGUGGUUUUUGUUUUUGUAGUGUUACCUGUGUUUAUAAAGAAUGAAACAUGAAGCAACAAUGAUUUUCUUUUUUUGAGAUAGGGUCUUACUCUAUAGUUUAGGUUGACUUGGACUUCAUUAUAUUAGACAGCAUUGGCUUCAAACUAGUGGCAAAUCUCUUGAUAGACGUAUCCUAUGUCAAAAGGCUGAUGGCGCACAGGUCUGGGAAGGAUCAAGUGGUUCAAGCAUUUCUAUGUGGUACAUUUGUGAGUUAAUCAGGCUUCCUUUGAAAUGAAGUUAUUUGCUUCUUUUGACCCCAGAAACAUCAAAGCCAAAAUUCAUGGGAGGAGGCUUAUUGUUAUGCACAAUGCAAAGUUUCUUCCAUUUAAAUUCAUUGAAAAGUAAAAAUUUCAUGACUAUUGUUUUUAAGUUAUAAUCUUAAUGUAAAUAUUUCUAAGUAUGCUAGAUAAU